GUAUUUGCUCCUUUUUCCACAGCAGGGAAGAUAUCCCACCUGCCUGUUAUGUUAUUCGCCUCUUCAGCUCUGACCAUAGAUGAUUUUUCAUAUAUUGUGGAAACCUGAGCUGAAGUAUCGUGAGACUUACAGCGUGAUAACGACACCAAAAAUUCUCCAUCAUCUUGUCUUUGACGUGAUCCACUGAUCGGAAUCUGUUUGUUCACUGAUCGGAAAGGACA
rnacentral:lncRNA from 1 species